ACAUGUAUGUCAAAAUAGAAACGGAACGUUUAAUUUUCGUUAGGCAAACUGACGUGCUAUUUAUACAAGCUGUAGCUUGCAGCUAUCAACAAUGCAUCUGAUGAGACAUCUUCAGUUAGCAUGACAAUUUGCUGACUUGCGUUUUUUUGUAACAAUCCGCCAAAUCUUUUUGUGGACGUUCAACAUUUUUUGAAAAUGAGAUUUCCAUCAAUACCAGCGCGCUGCAGCGGCGUAUCUAGCAAUUAUUGGUUUUUGGUUUCGAAAAAAUCAUUAUUUCUUCCACAGUCUUUCAACCUUUCGCCACUUGUUGCCAAUCUGAUUCACACUUUCGGCUAAUAAAAGAGUUAGACUGCAUCCACUUGAAUCCGCGUUAAGAAUGCAAAACGCAAUCAAUAUUGGGAAAAACCCACUGAAUCUUUCUUAUCACUGAGACCCCAGCAGCGCAAAACAUCAUUCGCAUUUCUAUUACGUGUCUAUUACCUUUUCGACAGUGUGGGAACAAAAUUGAUUAAUAUGAUUGAAAAUGUGGGAUUAACAACCGGGUAGCUCAUCAACCAUUGGCAGUAGAAAAUCAUUCGACGAUGAGAUCGAUUGGAAUAAUUGUAAUUUUUGCUUCUUUUCUGGCCUAUAUCAGCCAGGCUCAAGGCGAGUGCUGUCGUGCUGCAUUAACUAUGGAUUAUUCUGUCCUUAAUGGGCAGUGUUCUGAUGUUGGCGGAUACCGUGGAAGUCAAGUUUGCAUUAUUACAAUAUGUGCCGAUGGUAAACCCCUGGUGGGAACCUACUGUGGACGUGAAUCGUGCGAUA